rnacentral:rRNA from 1 species
AGGACGAACGCUGGCGGCGUGCUUAACACAUGCAAGUCGAGCGGUAAGGCCUUUCGGGGUACACGAGCGGCGAACGGGUGAGUAACACGUGGGUGAUCUGCCCUGCACUCUGGGAUAAGCCUGGGAAACUGGGUCUAAUACCGGAUAUGACCUGCUCUCGCAUGGGGGUGGUGGAAAGAUUUAUCGGUGCAGGAUGGGCCCGCGGCCUAUCAGCUUGUUGGUGGGGUAAUGGCCUACCAAGGCGACGACGGGUAGCCGACCUGAGAGGGUGACCGGCCACACUGGGACUGAGACACGGCCCAGACUCCUACGGGAGCAGCAGUGGGAAUAUUACACAAUGGGCGAAAGCCUGAUGCAGCGACGCCGCGUGAGGAUGAAGGCCUUCGGGUGUAAGCACUUUGGCAGGAAGAAACGGCGUGCCUAAGUACGGACGUCACGUGACGGUACCUGCAAGAAUAAGCACCGGCUAACGUACGUGCCAGCAGCCGACGGUAAUCUGA